UAAGUUCGUCGACACAAAGACGCCUCUUGACGUCGCCGUGAGAACGCCUGAACUAGGUGGAGAUGCUGUAUUGGUGGUGGAGGACACGGAGAACAGAGUAACGCUGAACCAGCUCCUCAUGUUUGUCACUGGGGCGGAAUGAGUUCCUCCCCUGCGAUUCCCAGGAGAGCAAACAUUAAACUUUUUGCACACUGGCACUGUCUUCCCGGAAGACUCUUCACACCACCUAUGAAUCAUUUAGUGAUUCCAUGAUUUCAGGAAUCAUCCAGUCCCCCUGUUUUGGUUAUGCCUAAUGUAAGCCAACACUUUUUUUUUUGCAUCUUCUUGCUAAUGUUUUGCAUCUUCUUUAAAUAAAGAAUGUUCCAGUGCCACGUUU